rnacentral:rRNA from 1 species
UACGUAGGGUGCGAGCGUUGUCCGGAAUUAUUGGGCGUAAAGGGCUCGUAGGCGGUCUGUCACGUCGGGAGUGAAAACACGGGGCUUAACCCCGUGCCUGCUUCCGAUACGGGCAGACUAGAGGUAUGCAGGGGAGAACGGAAUUCCUGGUGUAGCGGUGAAAUGCGCAGAUACCAGGAGGAACACCGGUGGCGAAGGCGGUUCUCUGGGCAUUACCUGACGCUGAGGAGCGAAAGCGUGGGGAGCGAACAGG